rnacentral:rRNA from 1 species
CCUACGGGAGGCAGCAGUUGGGGAUCUUGCGCAAUGGGGGCAACCCUGACGCAGCAACGCCGCGUGAGUGAUGAAGGCCUUCGGGUCGUAAAGCUCUGUCAGAGGGGAAGAAAUGCAGGUGGUGAACAACCAUUCUGUUUGACGGUACCCUCAAAGGAAGCACCGGCUAACUCCGUGCCAGCAGCCGCGGUAAUACGGAGGGUGCGAGCGUUGUUCGGAAUUAUUGGGCGUAAAGCGCGUGUAGGCGGUUUGUUAAGUCUGAGGUGAAAGCCCCGGACUCAACCGGGGAAGUGCAUUGGAUACUGGCAGACUUGAGUACGGGAGAGGAGAGUGGAAUUCCCAGUGUAGGAGUGAAAUCCGUAGAUAUGGGGAGGAACACCGGUGGCGAAGGCGGCUCUCGGGACCGAUACUGACGCUGAGGUGCGAAAGCCAGGGGAGCGAACGGGAUUAGAUACCCCGGUAGU